AUGGAGCAAACGCCGAGAAAACAUUUGGCUGCAUUUGUACAUGCCUCAUUUUCCGAGAUCGAUUUAGCAAAGCGCUUCGAGGAUUUCAUUGUGAAUGAAGAGAAUUGGUGCUAUCGGCUCCAUGGAAACCGGCAAGCGGCUGCGAUUGGGCGGGCGGUAUCCAGGCUCGGCAGCGAUACCUCCGAAACAGCCGAGCCUGUCCUGCACGCCUCGACCCCGCUGUCUGCCUUGGCUGAUUACGUGUUCCUCAAACUCUUUGAGCCCCCAAAGCAUUUGCUCAGCCCUACCAGAAAGCGCACCUACUGCAAACCCGCUUUACCUCGUGUGAGGAAACUGAGCACCAGCCAGCAGCAAAAAACUGGUGAUGACUCAGUGGCCAGUGCUGCUGCUGGGCAGCGUGCCGAAGGGGACCAAAAAGUGCUGAGCCAGAGCUUCCUCCCUCAGCAGCCUCACAAGCCCGCAGCCGGUCCCCUUGACGGGUAGAGGAAACACACAGCUGCUGUUACUGAACACAGACUCCAAAAAAGGGUUUAUUCCACUGUGAAGUUACGAUGGCCUUGACCUGCUUUGCAGCCACCGCGACGCUCUGCCAGGCUGCCAAAUCGAGUGAUACCAAACAGCCAAAUCCACCCAAUGGCAGCAAAGCAAAGGCACGGGUUCCCGUGGGACCGGCUGUGCUUCCUGCCUCGGAGCAACGUCAGGUCGCGGCUUCCUCCUGAUCCUGGCUGGGCUGCAGCAGCUGCUCCCCUGGGCCAGCUCUGCCCAGCCUUGGAGAAAACAGCACCCAGGACAGACAGACCUCCGAAUGCUCUUAACCCUGCCCAAAUCAGAGCAGCAAUGAGCAGAGAGAGCGUGAGUUUAGUGAGCUUCCCCAAAUACAUAUGCUUUGCAGCUGCACAGCCGAGGAACGGUUGUGUCUUCUUGGACAUGUUGAAGGACUUGUAUGCCUGAAAGCCUGGCUGUUAUUUGUCUAAUUAUAUAAUUUGGCUUAAUAAAAGCUAUUACCUCUCCA
rnacentral:lncRNA from 1 species